rnacentral:rRNA from 1 species
GAUGAACGCUGGCGGCGUGCCUAAUACAUGCAAGUCGAGCGAACAGACGAGGAGCUUGCUCCUCUGACGUUAGCGGCGGACGGGUGAGUAACACGUGGAUAACCUACCUAUAAGACUGGGAUAACUUCGGGAAACCGGAGCUAAUACCGGAUAACAUGUUGAACCGCAUGGUUCAACAGUGAAAGACGGUUUUGCUGUCACUUAUAGAUGGAUCCGCGCCGCAUUAGCUAGUUGGUAAGGUAACGGCUUACCAAGGCAACGAUGCGUAGCCGACCUGAGAGGGUGAGCGGCCACACUGGAACUGAGACACGGUCCAGACUCCUACGGGAGGCAGCAGUAGGGAAUCUUCCGCAAAGGGCGAAAGCCUGACGGAGCAACGCCGCGUGAGUGAAGAAGGUCUUCGGAUCGUAAAACUCUGUUAGGAGGGAAGAACAAAUGUGUAAGUAACUAUGCACGUCUUGACGGUACCUAAUCAGAAAGCCACGGCUAACUACGUG